AAAUAAUAGACAUUAAUAUCUUGAGCUUCUGCAGAAUACAUACGCUUCAGGGAGUGCUACACAAGUACUGUCAUGGGCGGCUUUCCAGUCAUGCCCCAUGACCCCUUGGGCGCACCCCAUAGCAUCCAAGCCUCCCAAUACCUAGCGCUACGGACGGCCCCGUGAUCUUGACUGCACCAAGUGGCAAGCGUGCAUGUGCCUCUGCCGCCCCAUCGAUAUUCCUCGCCAGGGUCCAGCUGCAGGCAGAUGCCAAUAGCUCUGCGCGCGCCGAUCGUGAUGCCAAAGACACUACUGCUGACAAGGGACCUGUUUGUACUUAGCAAAAAGCUAAGUCCUUUUCAUUGUAAAUAUAGAGUAGUUUUAUUUCAUGUACUUCAAGUCUAGUCUUGUAGCUUUAUUCAAGUCCAGUCUUGUAGUAGUAGAUUAUUUUUUAAGCAUUAUUAGGGGGGUCAAGCAAUAAAACUUUCUAGCAAGCAAACAAUUUUCUGUACUAGUGUCUCUCCCCCUCGAUACUGCG
rnacentral:lncRNA from 1 species